CGGCUUAACUGUGAGCGUGCGGGCGAUACGGGCAGACUUGAGUACUGCAGGGGAGACUGGAAUUCCUGGUGUAGCGGUGGAAUGCGCAGAUAUCAGGAGGAACACCGGUGGCGAAGGCGGGUCUCUGGGCAGUAACUGACGCUGAGGAGCGAAAGCGUGGGGAGCGAACAGGAUUAGAUACCCUGGUAGUCCACGCCGUAAACGGUGGGUACUAGGUGUGGGUUUCCUUCCUUGGGAUCCGUGCCGUAGCUAACGCAUUAAGUACCCCGCCUGGGGAGUACGGCCGCAAGGCUAAAACUCAAAGAAAUUGACGGGGGCCCGCACAAGCGGCGGAGCAUGUGGAUUAAUUCGAUGCAACGCGAAGAACCUUACCUGGGUUUGACAUGCACAGGACGCCGGCAGAGAUGUCGGUUCCCUUGUGGCCUGUGUGCAGGUGGUGCAUGGCUGUCGUCAGCUCGUGUCGUGAGAUGUUGGGUUAAGUCCCGCAACGAGCGCAACCCUUGUCUCAUGUUGCCAGCGGGUAAUGCCGGGGACUCGUGAGAGACUGCCGGGGUCAACUCGGAGGAAGGUGGGGAUGACGUCAAGUCAUCAUGCCCCUUAUGUCCAGGGCUUCACACAUGCUACAAUGGCCGGUACAAAGGGCUGCGAUGCCGCGAGGUUAAGCGAAUCCUUUUAAAGCCGGUCUCAGUUCGGAUCGGGGUCUGCAACUCGACCCCGUGAAGUCGG
rnacentral:rRNA from 1 species